AUGAUUUGGAAGCAUCAAAAUGACCUGUCUUCAACAGGAGUUCGCCUAAUAUCCAAAGGGUUCUUGGCUGGACGGAGCAUCUCCGAAAACUUUGUAUGCGCCGCGGAGGUCAUCCAGUGUUGUCACGGACGUCGCGCCCCAACGCUCGUCUUCAAGCUGGACUUCGCCAAGGCAUUUGACUCUGUCGACUGGGGCGCGCUACGCCGCAUCCUCGAGGUGCGGGGGUUCCCGGAUCAAUGGUGCUCUUGGAUGGAUUUGAUCUUCCGGUCCUCCCGUUCGGCGGUGCUUCUGAACGGCGUCCCUGGGAAAUGGUUCACGGUGCGCCGGUGGCUGCAACAGGGGGACCCGAGCUCGCCCUACCUCUUCCUCAUCAUCGCCGACGUUUUGCAACAGAUGAUC
rnacentral:rRNA from 1 species